rnacentral:rRNA from 1 species
AGUCAUAUGCUUGUCUCAAAAACUAAGCCAUGCAUGUCUAAGUAUAAAUGCUAUACAGUGAAACUGCGAAUGGCUCAUUAAAACAGUUAUAGUUUAUUUGGUAAUCGAAUUUACAUGGAUAACCGUGGUAAUUCUAGAGCUAAUACAUGCUGUAAUGCCCGACUUUUUGGAAGGGCCGUAUUUAUUAGAUAUCAACCAAUAAGACUUGUUNUAUUGNGGUGAAUCAUAGUAACUGAUCNGAUCGCANGCAAGCCCUGCNACAAACCAUUCAAGUUUCUGCCCCAUCAGCUUACGAUGGUAGUGUAUUGGACUACCAUGGCUUUUACGGGUAACGGAGGAUUANGGUUCNAUUCCNGAGAGGGAGCCUGANAAACGGCUACCACAUNUAAGGAAGGCANNAGGCGCGUAAAUUACCCAAUCCUGACUCAGGGAGGNAGUGACAAGAAAUANCGGGUCGGAGUUUAACACCGGGACUGAAAUGAGACGAAUUUACACCCCUUAUCNANGACCGAUUGGAGGGCAAGUCUGGUGCCAGCANCCGCGGUAAUUCCAGCUCCAA